rnacentral:rRNA from 1 species
UACAGAGGGUGCAAGCGUUGUUCGGAAUUAUUGGGCGUAAAGGGCGUGUAGGCGGUUUGCUAAGUCAUGUGUGAAAUCCCCCGGCUUAACCGAGGAACGACGCAUGAUACUGGCUAGCUAGAGUGUGAUAGAGGAUGGUGGAAUUCCCGGUGUAGCGGUGAAAUGCGUAGAGAUCGGGAGGAACACCAGUGGCGAAGGCGGCCAUCUGGAUCAACACUGACGCUGAGGCACGAAAGCGUGGGGAGCAAACAGG